rnacentral:rRNA from 1 species
CCUACGGGUGGCAGCAGUGGGGAAUAUUGCACAAUGGGGGAAACCCUGAUGCAGCGACGCCGCGUGAGUGAAGAAGUACUUCGUUACGUAAAGCUCUAUCAGCAGGGAAGAAAUACUGACUUUAUGGUCAGCAGACGGUACCUGAUUAAGAAGCCCCGGCUAACUACGUGCCAGCAGCCGCGGUAAUCCGUAGGGGGCAAGCGUUAUCCGGAUUUACUGGGUGGAAAGGGAGCGUAGACGGUGCGCCAAGUCUGGAGUGAAAUGCCGCAGCUUAACUGCGGAACUGCUUUGGAAACUGGCGAACUAGAGUGCGGGAGGGGUAAGCGGAAUUCCUAGUGUAGCGGUGAAAUGCGUAGAUAUUAGGAGGAACACCGGUGGCGAAGGCGGUUUACUGGACCGUAACUGACGUUGAGGCUCGAAAGCGUGGGGAGCAAACAGGAUUAGAUACCCCAGUAGUC